GAACCACAGAUCCAGGGAGGUGUGGAGGGGCCAGAGCAGAUCAGCUGCCUCAGGUCUGGGUGCCUGAGCUACUGCAGCUCGUGUUGCAGCGCGAAGGAUGGGAACUGCACCACACCCUGACCCUUGUCCUUAGGGGAGCCCGAAGCAACCAGUGGCAUUAGUAGAUGCAGUGAUGGUGGUGGUUGUUAGGAAUCCAUGACCUCAGGAACAAUGUGAGUUACCAAUAG
rnacentral:lncRNA from 10 species